AUUUAUUGGAGAGUUUGAUCCUGGCUCAGGACGAACGCUGGCGGCGUGCCUAAUACAUGCAAGUCGAGCGGACCUUUCAAGAGCUUGCUCUUGAAAGGUUAGCGGCGGACGGGUGAGUAACACGUGGGCAACCUGCCCUGUAGACUGGGAUAACUUCGGGAAACCGGAGCUAAUACUGGAUAA
rnacentral:rRNA from 1 species